rnacentral:tRNA from 1 species
GGUAAGAUGGCUGAAUGUUUAAGCGGUGGGCUGUAGAUCCAUGGACAGAGGUUUAAUCCCUCUUCUUAUCA